GAAGAUCCUGUGCAAUAUAUAUGCUGAACAUUGAAGGCUGUGUUCAGCAACUUUCUGAAGUGUUCCUUUGUGCGUGUCCCUAGUGCACAUGUAAAACUCUGAGCAAUCAACAAUUUGGAUUGCUGUCUUGUACUUGCAAAGUGAAACACGGGAAAUCUAUGUGUGUUUAGAAUAAACCGGAAGGUGAUUUUUAAUCAACCAAUCCAACAAAGAGGUGACAGUGAGAAUAGUGGCUCCCAAACUUGGACUUUGCAGCUGUGGCACCUUAGCCGGAUGGUCUCCCCCUCCUGGAAUACCCAGCGAGAC